UACGUAGGUGACAAGCGUUGUCCGGAUUUACUGGGCGUAAAGAGCGCGCAGGCGGUCGUUCAAGUCGAGUGUGAAAGCCCCCGGCUCAACUGGGGAGGGUCAUUCGAUACUGAUCGACUCGAAGGCAGGAGAGGGUAGUGGAAUUCCCGGUGUAGUGGUGAAAUGCGUAGAUAUCGGGAGGAACACCAGUGGCGAAGGCGACUUUCUGGGCUGUAACUGACGCUGAGGCGCGAAAGCCAGGGGAGCAAACGGG
rnacentral:rRNA from 1 species